rfam:Firmicutes bacterium CAG:95 genomic scaffold, scf395
AGCAGAGUGGAGCAGUCUGGAAGCUCGUCUGGUUCGCUGCCAGAAGGUCACGGGUUCAAAUCCCGUCCCUGCAA